AGAGAGCUUUGCCCUUGCGGCCCAGGCUGGAGUUCAAUGGCGUGAUCUCCACUCACAGCAAACUCCGCUUCCCGGGUUCAAGCGAUUCUCCUGCCUCAGCCUCCCGAAGUAGCUGGGAUUACAGGUGCCCAUCACCACGCCCCGCUAAUUUUUUUGUGUUUUUAGUUGAGACGGAGUUUCACCAUGUUGUCCAGGCUAGUCUUGAACUCCUGACCUCAGGUGAUCCACCCGCCUCAGCCUCCCAAAUUGCUAGGAUUACAGGUGGGAGCCACCGCACCUGACCUGAACAGUCCUUUUUUUUUGAGGCAGGGUCUCGCUCUGUUGCCCAGGCUGGAGUGCAGUGGCGCGAUCAUGGCCCCACUACAGCCUCAACCUCCCUGGUUCAAGUAAUCCUUCUGCCUCAGCCUCUUAAGUAGCCGGGACCAUAGGCGUGAGCCACAAUGCCUGGCUUGUAUCUGUCUUGUCACUGUUUUGACUCUCACAUAUGUGACAGAGCCUGGCAUACAGUAGGUGCUCAAAAAGGUAUGUCCAAUGAGUGGAGUAAAUCUAACAUACAUUAGGAGUGGGGAUCUAUGGCUUGUCGCCUGUUUUUAUAUGAGUAAAAACUGAUUUUUAAAACACUUUUAAGGGUCUAAGGCUGGACGCAGUGGCUCACGCCUGUAAUCCCAGUACUUUGGGAGGCCGAGGCAGGUGGAUCACUUGAGGCCAGGAGUUCAAGGCCAGCCUGGCCAACAUGACAAAACCCAUCUCUACUAAAAACACAAAAAUCACCCAGGCGUGGUGGCACACACUUUUACUCGGGAGGCUGAGGUAGGAGAAUCGCCUGAACUCCAGAGAGGCGGACGUUGCAGUGAGCUGAGAUCUGCCAUUGCGCUCCAGACUAAGUGACAGAGCAAGACCCUGUCUCAAAAUAGAUAAAUAAAAACGAUAACCAUGACAAUAGCCGCUGACACUUACAUAGCAUUUGCUAUGCGCCAGGCACUCCAUGCUCUUUACAUUCAUUAAUUUAUUCAAUCCACAUCACUACCCUAUGAGGUAGUUACUAAGAUUGUCCCCAUUUUACAGGUGAGGAAACUGAGGCACAGUUUGGGACUGUGCUUGGGAACUUGCUUGGGAGCAGCGUGAAGAGUUAGGAAUCCAGGAAGUCUGGCUCCAGAGUCGGGCUCUAAACCGCCAACGCUUUGUUGAAUGAUUUAGGAUGAAAGAACACAGCCAAGGAGGGGAGAAGGGCUGAGAACCUGGAGGAUGAGAACCUGGAGGAUGCUGAAAACCUGGAGAGAUGCUUCAUCUCAGGACAGGCAGGCUAUGGCAUGCCGGCAGCCCUCGCUGGUUAACAGUGGCGUCAGCAAGGCUGCCUGGGCCUGACGAGGGCGGUGUAGCCACCUAAGCACAGGUGACCAUCACUGGAGAGUGACACCUUUAAAGAGGGAUCAUCAGAAACCACAGAGGCCAGGCCUGUGCGAGCUGGCAGGGCACUGGGGACCAUCGAGACCCAGCCGUACGACAUAGGAGCUUCAGGACGUGAGGCAGGCACUCUUUCAUGUAAAAAAUCCCAGAGGAAAGAGAUCGCCGGGACUCGAGACCCCUUAACCGGCCCCAUCCACAGCCAACGAAUCCCUGAGAACGGAUUCCCUAACGAGGCGCUCCCAGUGCCACCGUCCGCCAGACCCGGGCCCCGCACCGUGAUCGCCGCCUCCGGGACGCCUCACCGAGCUCUGGAGACUCAGGGCCCGUCGGCCCGGCCAGUUCCCGCGGACGCCUCCGCCACCACC
rnacentral:lncRNA from 1 species